rnacentral:rRNA from 1 species
GACGUAGGGGGCCAGCGUUGUUCGGAAUUACUGGGUGUAAAGGGUUCGUAGGCGGUGCGGCAAGUCGGGAGUGAAAUCUCUGGGCUUAACCCAGAGGCUGCUUCCGAAACUGCUGUGCUUGAGUGUGGGAGAGGCGCGUGGAAUUGCAGGUGUAGCGGUGAAAUGCGUAGAUAUCGGGAGGAACACCAGUGGCGAAGGCGGAGACCUGGGCCAAUACUGACGCUGAGGUGCGAAAGCGUGGGGAGCAAACAGG